GACUAACCCGAACUUCGGCGUAGACGUAGUGUUAAACCGUGGUUCAUACGCGCCUCUGUAGUGGCAAGACCUGGGACUCCAGUCACUCAUUGUUUCUACAAAGGUGCCUUGAGUCCCCGGUGCUUAUGGGCCUGUGCUAAGCUAGUGGCAAAACCCCGAAGCUAUUUGGUCUCCUUGCGGGAGCUCGGCGCUUGCUGGGGCCACGCUCUGCUUGCUUGGGCGUGGCCUCCUGUGAGAGGGGGCCCUAGGAUGAGGCGAUAUGCUGGAUUCCUGGGCUUCCUUAACAUGAGCCCUCCCCUGCUGUAGACGUGAAUGGAACCCGUUAAGUUAUGGGAACGUUCCCGGCACUCCUUUCCUUUCCUCUCAAGUGCCAGUGGGAUGUCCGAAUAGGGUCUGGCACCAUGACUGUCUGGACUCAAAAGUGCCUUCAGGAGGCCCUAGCAAAAUUUACUAGUGUCUGCUUGGAGUAGUAGCAGCUCUUGUGAUGGACUCCGGACAGCCAGCGUUCAUUCCCUGACUCCCUUCUGUUACUUUUUAAGUAAAAUAAUGAAAAUAUUUCAAAUAGAGUAAUACAGAUUCCUGUGGACCGACCACUAGCUUGAAAUUUUAUCAGACUUGCUUUCAUUCUUUUUUCCUCCCAGCUUUAUUGAGGUGUAAUCAAUGAUUCAUUCUUUUUUAAAUAGAACAAUACAUAUAGGCAGAAGCCCCUGCGUACCUCCUCCAUCUCAUUCUGUCUCCCUCCCCAGUGGCAAUCACUGUGCUGAGAAUGUUGUAUAUCAUGUCCAUGCAUGUCCUUAUAUGCAUACCCAUAAAUAAUAUUUUCUUUUGCAUGUUUAGACAUAUCAUGGAAUGGAAUCAUAGUUGUACCUCUCAUUGUGCACCUUUCUCCUCUCUCAAAAUUAUACUCUCAAGAUUUAUCCAUUUGGUCAAUCGCUAGAUAAUUUUCACUGCUCAUUGUAUGACUGACCCAUAUUUGUUUUUACAUUCCUUAGUGAGAGAGGUUAUUUCUACUUUAACGGCCUUACAGAGCAGCAAUGAACAUCAUGUGCAAUGGAUUCACCAAGCAGAUUCCCAAAAGUGAAUUUGCUGCGAAAUCUGCAACUUUGUUAGCUAUUACCAAAUUGCUCUCUGGGUUGAUUGCAUCAAGGUACCAAUUUAGACUCCCAUUGGCAGUAUACGUAGUUUGAGGGUCCCCGUGGACUAAUGUCUGAUUCAUGCAUGAGAAAUCUGAACCGAGAGAGGCUAGCCGAGGCAGCUUGGGGUGGAGGUGGGAGGCGGAGAAUAAUGGCUGCAGAGGGAUCAGCUUGCAUACACAGAAUUUGCCAGCACAAAGAACGUGCAGGUGUUUCCCAUGGAGCAGAUGUGGACCACCAUGAGACAGCUUAGGUCCUGCCCAACAGGCCUGGGAGGAAGGCAAUGAACUUCAGCACUGAGAACCUCAAAGAGUCACCAAAUUCCUAGAGGCUGAAAAAGGAGUACACAUUUGCCUUGCCAGAGGAACCUCAGGUGAGUAGCGUGAUGAGGUUGACAAAGGAACCCACAAGAAUGCCCACAAGAAUCAACUUUAGUCUGUCAGGGUCACAUAGGGCUGAUCCUCUACCACCACAGCAAUGACAGUCAGGUAACAACUUUCCUGCUCCCCUUAACUCUCUUCUUUGCUACAACCCAGACAUGGUAGGUUGGGGCAGGGGGAGAACAUUGAAGGAAACCUAGGUGGAAAAAGAAGAGAAGCCCAUGGUCUCCCUUUCCCCAGAAACCAGCUUCCUACUUGCAAUAGGCCAGAGGUGAGUGAGGGAAGAAGCAUCAACUGUAAAUCAAGCUUGCAAUUUUGACUGGAUAUAUUACUUACUAAAAUGACACUGUUUUAUGACCUUAAGGGACUACACAGUAGGACUUUAAAACCUAAGAGUGAACAGAAAAGUCAUGACUCUAUCUGAAUUUACAUCUGAAGAAGGGGAAGAACUGCCCACUGAAUAAAUGUAAGUGGACAGUGGGAGGGAAAAACAAACAUAAUUAUAUCUCAAAGUCAUGCUAAUUCAAUAUGACAAACAUUCGUCCAGGGUGACUUUAUCC
rnacentral:lncRNA from 10 species